UGUCAAUUUGCGUGCGUUGGUGCCAUCAUAAAGGUGGAUAAUAGGGAAUGUAGUGAGAAUCUACAACUGUCCUAGCAGCUGUAAUAUGGAGUGUAUAUCAUAACCACUGUAGUUUCUAUGGGAAGGGAUGUACAUGUUGAAAUGAAGUCAGAAGACCUGCCACUUGCACAAGUUUAUG
rnacentral:ncRNA from 2 species